UGUAACCGGCCGUCGCGCCACCCGUCCCUCGAUGCGGCGACCGGUUCAGGUUCGUCCUGCGGAGACCCGCCGCUUUCCCUGAAGCGGCGGGUC
rnacentral:sRNA from 3 species